rnacentral:rRNA from 1 species
CGCGUAGGCGGCUUUGCAAGUCAGAUGUGAAAUCUAUGGGCUCAACCCAUAAACUGCAUUUGAAACUGUAGAGCUUGAGUGAAGUAGAGGCAGGCGGAAUUCCCCGUGUAGCGGUGAGAUGCGUAGAGAUGGGGAGGGAACACCAGUGGCGAAGGCGGCCUGCUGGGCUUUAACUGACGCUGAGGCACGAAAGCGUGGGUAGCAAACA